ensembl:lncRNA
AACAACUAUAAAAUGAGCACAAAACAGUAAAUGAAAAUGACUUAAGACAAGUGCAGGGGAACAAAAGUAGUCUUGCGGAGAAACACGCGGGAGUUUCCUGCGUCACAGCCUCGGUGGACGACAUUCAGUUUGAGGAGGCGGCGAGGAUCAGAUCUCUGCUUCCUGCCCGGCAUGGGAUGGGCAGCUGUCCUCUUCCCAGGCUCUUCCACCAUGUCAUAGAAAUGGACUGAAAGCCAAGAUCUUGGAGAUAGCCAAGAAUGGACUGAAAAUGUGAGUCAAAAUAAACUCCUCCUUUAAGUUGUGUCUGUCAGGUGUUGAGUCUCAGUGAAGAAGAAAGAGACUAAGAUUUGGUCCCACAGAAGUAGGAUUGUUCCUGUGACUGUACUUUGACCAUGUGGUUUAGAAGCCUUUGAAACUGGGGGUGAGGGGAGGGUAGAGAAAGGUUUGGAAGUGGCAGCUAAAGAAGUUACCAAAUGCUGCAAGCAGAACUUGAUGGAAGAUUCUGGUUGGAAUUCAAAGACCAGAACGCUGAUAGAAAUAUACACAGUAAAGGCCAGGCUCCUGAGUUUUCCACUGGGAACAAGGACUCCACUGGGAGUUGAAUCCAAGACUGUAUGUGCUAUGCUCUGACAGAAAAUUUGCCUACAUUCUGCCCAGAUCCUGAGAUGUUACAGGAGACUGAGAUUCAGUGGGAAGAUAUAAUUGAUCUGGUGGAGGAAAUUUCAAAGCAGCUCAACAUUCAGGUUGUGACAUGAGUGCUGCUUGUGGCUUUUUACCAUAUUUAUAGCGAAUGAUCACUCUCAUUUCCCUGGCAACUUAGUGCAAAUAGGCAGGUCAACCAAAAAAAAAAAAAAACUAACAAAGAAGUAUCAGAGUUAAACCUCACCACAGAACAAAUGAAGUUAACAGAUAUCUGCAGUGUUUCAUCUGCCAACAGCAGAAUAACAUUCCUCUCGGCAGCUCAUGGCCAUUCUCUAAAACAGGCACAAGUUUAGGUUGUAAAAUAGUUCCUACUAAAUAAAUAAGAACUAAAAUAAUCUCUUACAAUUCAUCAGAUCACAACUCAAUGAAACUAAAAGAAAAAGAAACCACAGAAACUAUAUAAACACAGAGAUUGAACAACACAGUCAUGAAUGGUCAACAAAUCAUUAAAAAAUCAAGGAAUACUUAAAAAUUCCUAGAAACAUAUGACAAUGGAAAUACAACAUAUCAGAAUGAAACCAGUUGUAAGAGCAAAAUUUAUAGCUAUGAGCACCAACAUUAGAAAAAACAGAGCAAACCCAAGUGUGUAAUUAACCUAGUGAUUCAUCUCAAGGUCCUAGAAAAGUAUUAACCAUCCAAACCCAAAACUAGUUCAAGGAAGGAAAUUAUAGACAUCAGAGCAAAAAUCAUUGAAAAUGAGGCUAAAAAAAACCAGAGGAUCAAUAAAUCAGAGUUGGUUCUUUGAAAGGCUAAAUAAGGUUUAUAAACACAAUGAAAUAGACUUAAGGAAAGAGAGAAAACCCAUGUUAAUAAAAUUAGAAACAAAAAGGUGAAAUUACAGCAGACACCACUAAAAUCCAGAGGAUUAUUAGAAACUAUUUUGAAACUAAAUUUGAGAAUCUGGAAAAAAAUAGGUAAAUUCUUAGACAAAUAUGAUUUACCAAAAUUGAACCAAGAAAAUAUAUUUUAAAAACUUAGACCAAUAACAAGGAAUAGAACUGAUACAAUAAUAAAAACAGUACCAAUUAAAUAAAGCCCAGGACCUGAUAGACUCACUGUUAAACUUUAUCAGGACCUUAGAGAAGAACUAAUGCCAAUCCUCCUCAAACAUUUCCACGUAAUUGAAAGGAAAGGAACAUUUCAAAACUAAUUUCAUGCUGGGUGUGGUGAUGUAUGCCUGUCAUCUCAGCACUCAGGAGGCUGAGGCAGGAGGAUCACUGUGAGUUCCAGGCCAGUGUGGGCUACAUAGUGAGUUCAAGGCCAGCUUGACUACAUAGUGAGACCUCGUCUCAAAAAACCUUCAUGUCAUGAAGCCAACAUUAACGUGAUACCAAAACUGGAUCACUUAACAAAAAAGAAAAACUACAAGCUAAUAUCCUUGGUGAACAUAACUGCAGAAAUCCUCAGCUAAGAAAUUGCAAACCAAAUUCAACAAAUUGCUUCAAAGAUUAUAUAUCACGACCAAGUCACCUUCACCCAGGAAUGCAAGGAUGAUACAACACACGUAAAUAAAUAAAUGCAAUACACAGCAGAAACAGAAUUAAGGACAAAAAUCACAUGAUUUCAACACAUGUAGAAAAAGACUCUAAAAAAGAUCCCUUCAUGAUAAAAACCCAGAUGAAAAUAGUUUUAGUAGGAUCUGACCUCAAACUGAUAAAAGGAAUAUGUGAAACACCACAGAGAGGAUAAUACUGAAAACAUUCCUUCUAAAAUCAGAAGUGAAGAAUAGUCACUCUCACUACUCCUGUUCAUAGUACUCAAAACUUUUGUGAGAGCAGUCAAGAAAAAUAAAUAAAAGGGAUAUGAAUAGAAAAGAAGUCACAAUAUUUCUAUCUGUAGAUGAUACGAUCCUUUACAUGGAAAAACCAAAAACUCCACCAGAAGGACUCCUGGGGUUGACAAACAAGAUCAGCAAAGUACAUAAUAAAAAAUCAACACACAAAAAAACAAUACUCCUCCUGUGCACAAAUAAUGAACCCACCAAGAAAGAGAUCAGGAAAAUAAUCCUAUUCAUGAAGCAUGAAAAAUGUUAAAACCUAGGAAUCAACCCAAUCAAGGAAGUAAAAGACCACUAUAACACAAACUAAGGAACUCUGAAGAAAGAGUAUGAGAGAAAAUGGAAAGAAAUCCCUCACUCUUAGAUGGCCAGAAAAAAUAUUAUUAAAAUGUCCAUUUAUCAAUAUAUACUAUAUGCAUAAUAUAUUGUAAUCUCUACUAGAAUACCAGUGACAUUCUUCACAGAACCAAGGAAAACAGUUCUAAUAUUAUAAGGUACCAAAGAAUAAGCAAAGAAAUUCAGAGCAAAAGGAGCAAAGCAGAAGCAAUCACAAUUCCUGAUUUCGAGAUGCUAUAGUAUAAAAAGUAGCACACAAAAACAGAUAUGUAGACCAAUGGAAACAGCAGAAGACAAAAAAAUUAGCUCACUCACGUUCAGAUGUCUGAUUUCUGACAAAGGGUCCAAAAACAUGCACUGGAGAAAAGGAAGCCUGGUUAACAAAUAGUGCUGGGAAACCAGUUAUCCGCUGCAAAAGCAUGAAACUGGACUUGUGUCUCUCAUCCUGUAGUAAAACCAAAUCAACAUGGACCAAAGGCUUAGCUAUGAAAACAACCUUUAAAACUGCCAGAAGAUAACGUGAGGAAGAUGCUUGAGGCCACAGACACCGGUAAGGAGCUGCAGAGCAGAACUCCAGUAACACGGGGAAUAACACCAAGAAUCAACAGAAGAGAUCACAUCAAAUUAAAAAGUUGUGCACAACAGAGGAAACAAUCAACAGAGUGAAGAGGCAGCCUAGAGAAUGAAAAAUACUUGCCAGCUACUAUCCUGAUAGAAGACAAAUAUCUAGCAUAUAUAAAGAAGUCAAAAAAUAACCCCAAAAAAAUAAAUAAUCCAAUCGAAAAAUGCACAGGGCUGGGGAUUUAACUCAGUGGUGCCGUCGCCUGCCUCGCAAGUGCAAGGUCCCGAGUUCGAUCCCCAGUACCACAAAAAAAAAAAAACGAAAAACAAAAAAAUGCACAAAUGAACCCAAUAGACACUUCUUAAAAGAAGAAAUACAAGGAUCUGGUAAGCACAUGGAAAGUGUUCAUUAUCUUUAGUCGUUAGGGAAAUGCAAAUCAAUGUCGCAAUUCCAUCUUGCUCCAGUCAAAGUGGAUAUCAUUAAGGUCUCAAAACACUGCAUGUGCUGGCAAGGAUGCGGGGGGAAAGGAGCCCUUCUACAUUGUUGGUGGGAGUGUAAAGUAGUUCAGCCACUGAAAAUACAAAUUUUGUUUGACCCAGCUAGCCCUCUCCCAAAUAUAUUCCUCAAAAAGUAAAAGACAUUAUAAUAUAGCGAUACCUACAUACCCAUAUUUAUAUCAGUGCAGUUCACAACAGGUGAGCACUAGAAACAGCUCAGAUACCCAACAACAGGAAAAUGGAUACCAAAAAGGUAGUAUACAUACACAGUGGAAUACUAUUCAGCCAUAAAGAAUAAAAUCAUAUCAUUUCAGGAAAAUGGUUGAUCUUCAGAUCAUAAUGUUACGUGAAAUAACUCAGACAAGUUAAGCAUCACAUGUUUCUCUUAUAUAAACAGCCCAAAAUAAAAAUAAAUUAGGAAAAAGAGAGGUGAUAGGAAACUUGGAGACAGACAUUUUGGAAAUUGGAAAGGUGAUUAGAUGAAGGGGAUGGCAGGAGUAGGGAUGAAAUGAAUUAAAAAGAUUCAGUGUUGGGCCGGGGAUUUAACUCAGUGGUUUCGCUGUCUGCUGUGCAAGCACAAGGACCCGAGUUCGAUCCCCGGUACCAAAAAAAAAAGAUUCAGUGUGAUACAUAUGUAUCAAUUCCCCAAAAUUAAUAUGACUAUUAUUCUUCACAAACACAUACAAUACUAAUAAAAGAAAAAAAUAUAUUUUCUGAAAGGCUCAUGAUAUCUACAAAGUGAGCACCUAUAAUAGCUCCACAAAAAUUAUAAACCAAGUGAAUAGAUAGAUGGUAGAUAGAUAGACAGACAGACCCCAGGUACUGCAUCCGGUCCCCACCCCUUCCUGUCUGGCAUUGGUCCCUGCCCUGGUUCCUGCCUGCCAUGACUAAGCACCUUUGCUCCAUCAAGCCUUUCCACCAUGAUGUCUUGACUUGCAGCCAACCAUGGACUGAAUUCCCUGAAACCAUGAGCUAAAUGCACCUCUUCUCUUUUAAGGUGUGGAUAUUUGGUAGUUUGUCCCAGGAAUAGGAAAGCUAAUGCACCUCUUUGUGAUAUAGCCUUCUGUGCCUUAUUUCGCUGACACCAAACCCAGUGUAUCCCAGAGCAGUGCCCUGUUAGAGCUGCUGAUGACAACAAACACCUGUGAGGGCAGAAAAGGCCUAAUGGUAAACGGACAGGGACAAGAAGGUCCCCUUCAGCUGUUCAAAAGCACCCGUUAUAUGGUUCCACUGUGUGUGUGUGUGUGUGCGUGUGCGUGUGUGUGCUUUCAUUGCAAAUGAUCCACUAUUUUAAAGAAUAAACCAGGAGCAAUGUUCAAAGACAGUCAUAUGGGCCAUAGGCAAAAGGAUGACCACAGUGUGUCCUAUAGCACCACCUUCUGGGGACGUCUAGCCGGACUCUGCAAACACCCACCAGGAGUUUGCGUUCACUGAUAGAUUCUCAUCCCUGGGCCAAGGGAGAGGGGUGAGUUCAAGUCUCAGACACACUGUCCAGGGUGGACAUAACCUAAACUAUAAAAACUAAAGAUUAAAAUACAAAGAAGUAUAAGUUAAUCUGGCUACUUCUAAGAGAACAUACAUUCAUCAUAACUGAUAACAUUAUGCCACUGACUCAUAGGGGGGUUAAAUUAAUUCUGUGGGUUAGAACACCACAAAUACUAGUGUCCACUUCCAUCUAAGAUCUUUAUUCUCUAACGUUCUUGGUCCUAUUGAAAGAUUUCAGUGUGUAAGAAAUACUGCAGUUAAUAUCCAAGAGAAAAGCCAUCAUCAUGUGUAUACUGGUUAUCAUGGUCAGUGUGGUACAGCUUUUUUAAAAAAUGAGCUGUCAUGCCAUUCAAAAAAGGAAAAAAGUCUCAACACCAUUGCAAAUGCCCAUGGCUGCAAUGCCUGAGAUACAAACUAAGAAUCCAGAGACUCCUCGCUCCGUGUAGAGAACGCACAUAAGAACACCAGGGGGCCACAUGGCAAAGGCAGAGCCUCUCACCUCAAGGAACAACAGCUACCAACUCAGAGCACCUGUCCUAAGAAGCCACUCCCGUUCUUGACAUCGGAUUAACUCUUUUUUUGUUGUUGUUGUUACCGGGGAUUGAACUUGGGUCCUUGUGCUUGUGCAGCAGGCGGCAAAACCACUGAGCUAAAUCCCCGGCCCAACAUCGGAUUAACUCUUAGCAAGACAUAAAUGCCAACACUGAGAGCUCAGGAACACAGCCCAGAAAUGCAACAUCAAAAUUCAACCUCGGGCAGGUUUGACUCCAAGCACAUGGCCUUAACACCAUAAAACUGCCUCUGAAUACUGAAUAGUUCCUCUGGUGUGAGAAACUGAAAGUGUAUAUAAGGACUAAAGUGUAUAAGAGGUAAUGUGAAAUAGGAAGAAAAGGGGCAAAGGGGAA